AGAACUCUGGAAUGAGUCUUUGCCAGAAAGACGUUUACGUUAUGCUCGUAGGCGUCGCCCAAGGAUGAGGCCGCGGCCGAUCAGGUUGUUGGUGAGGUAAUGGCUCACCAAGCCUUUUACCGGUGCGGGCCGUGAGAGCGGGAGCCCGGAGAUGGGCACUGAGACAAGGGCCCAGGCCCUACGGGGCGCAGCAGUCGCGAAAACUUUGCAAUACACGAAAGUGUGACAGGGCUAUCCCGAGUGCCAUCCGCUGAGGAAGGCUUUUACCCAGUCUAGAACGCUGGGGGAAUAAGGAGAGGGCAAGUCUGGUGUCAGCCGCCGCGGUAAUACCAGCUCUCCGAGUGGUGUGGAUGUUUAUUGGGCCUAAAGCAUCCGUAGCUGGCUGAGUUAGUCCCUUGUUAAAUCCACCGAAUUAAUCGUUGGAUUGCGGGGGAUACUGCUCGGCUAGGGGACGAGAGAGGCAGACGGUAUUUCCGGGGUAGGGGUGAAAUCCUAUAAUCCCGGGAAGACCACCAGUGGCGAAGGCUGUCUGCUAGAACGCGCCCGACGGUGAGGGAUGAAAGCUGGGGGAGCGAACCGGAUUAGAUACCCGGGUAGUCCCAGCUGUAAACGAUGCAGGCUAGGUGUUUGGACGGCCACGUGCCGUUCUAGUGCCGCAGGGAAGCUGUUAAGCCUGCCGCCUGGGGAGUACGAUCGCAAGAUUGAAACUUAAAGGAAUUGGCGGGGGAGCACCACAAGGGGUGAAGCUUGCGGUUUAAUUGGAUUCAACGCCGGAAAUCGA
rnacentral:rRNA from 1 species